AGACCAUUAGCUCAAUCGGAAGAGCAACUGACUCUUAAUCAGUAGGUUCGGGGUUCGAGUCCCCGAUGGUCUACCA
rnacentral:tRNA from 1 species